AGAGCGAACGCUGGCGGCAUGCUUAACACAUGCAAGUCGCACGGUCAGCAAUGGCAGUGGCGGACGGGUGAGUAACGCGUAGGAAUCUAUCCAGAGGUGGGGGACAACCGUGGGAAACUACGGCUAAUACCGCAUGUUACCUGAGGGUUAAAGGCGCAAGUCGCCUUUGGAGGAGCCUGCGUCUGAUUAGCUUGUUGGUGGGGUAAAGGCUUACCAAGGCGACGAUCAGUAGCUGGUCUGAGAGGAUGAUCAGCCACAUUGGGACUGAGACACGGCCCAAACUCCUACGGGAGGCAGCAGUGGGGAAUAUUGGACAAUGGGCGCAAGCCUGAUCCAGCAAUGCCGCGUGGGUGAAGAAGGUCUUCGGAUUGUAAAGCCCUUUUGGCGGGGACGAUAAUGACGGUACCCGCAGAAUAAGCCCGGCUAACUUCGUGCCAGCAGCCGC
rnacentral:rRNA from 1 species